AUGACGACUCUCGGCAACGGAUAUCUCGGCUCUCGCAUCGAUGAAGAACGUAGCGAAAUGCGAUACUUGGUGUGAAUUGCAGAAUCCCGUGAACCAUCGAGUCUUUGAACGCAAGUUGCGCCCCAAGCCUUUAGGCCGAGGGCACGUCUGCCUGGGUGUCACG
rnacentral:rRNA from 1 species